rnacentral:rRNA from 1 species
GACGUAGGGCGCGAGCGUUGUCCGGAUUUAUUGGGCGUAAAGAGCUCGUAGGCGGCUUGUCGCGUCGUCCGUGAAAACCUGCGGCUCAACUGCAGGUUGGCGGUCGAUACGGGCAGGCUGGAGUUCGGUAGGGGAGACUGGAAUUCCUGGUGUAGCGGUGAAAUGCGCAGAUAUCAGGAGGAACACCGGUGGCGAAGGCGGCUUGCUGGGCCAGUUCUGACGCUGAGGAGCGAAAGCGUGGGGAGCGAACAGG